rnacentral:rRNA from 1 species
GACGUAGGGUCCAAGCGUUGUCCGGAUUUACUGGGCGUAAAGAGCGCGUAGGCGGCUCGUUAAGUGCGAAGUGAAAUCUCUAGGGCUCAACCCAGAAACUGCUUUACAUACUGGCGAGCUGGAGUGAUGAAGAGGUUUGUGGGAUUCCUGGUGUAGCGGUGAAAUGCGUUGAUAUCAGGAGGAACACCCAUGGCGAAGGCAGCAAACUGGUCAUCAACUGACGCUGGGGCGCGAAAGCGUGGGUAGCAAACAGG